rnacentral:miRNA from 2 species
UAUUGCACACCCACUGGCCUGA